ACCACUUCGGCAACUCCUUGGACACUUUCCUUCUUGUGAAUAAUUUGCUUUCUCGGCCCCUCAAAGGCUUGCUGUGCAUGGAAAUCAUUAACUGUAAGAGGAACCGCUGUAGCUUUCAUUGUGAACUUUAGCCCAGAACUUGGCUCCUCCUCCAGAAUGUCUCCACCAAUCAAGGAAAGUGCUUUGGGCUAGUCUUGCUCCUCCGGGUUGUCAGACUGCUCCUCCCUCUUCUUUUGACUGCUACGACGAAAAAGCGGAUGUGAGAACUCAAGAUUCAGGGCUGCUCUUCUAGAAAACAAGUCUGCCAUAAUCUCCAGCUGUGUUGGAAUCCGUUAACUAAUGAAUUGGUCUCUGUGCAAAUCCUGAGUGCUAAAGUUUCCAACAAGACUGAUGCUAGCUUGUGUCACCAUGAAGAUGCUACAUCAUGCCAAGUGUUUUCAGCGCCUAACAAUUUUUGGUUCUGUGAGGGCAUUGCAUAAAGAUAAUAGAAGAGCAACCCCUCAGAAUUUUUCCAACUAUGAAUCCAUGAAACAGGACUUCAAACUGGAGAUUCCAGAGUAUUUCAACUUUGCUAAAGAUGUCCUGGACCAAUGGACUAAUAUGGAAAAGGCUGGAAAGAAACCUUCAAAUCCAGCCUUCUGGUGGAUCAAUGGAAAAGGAGAAGAGGUGCGAUGGAGUUUUGAGGAACUGGGAUCUCUGUCCAGAAAAUUUGCCAAUAUACUUUCAGAAGCCUGUUCCCUACAAAGAGGAGAUCGGGUAAUUCUGAUUCUGCCCAGGGUCCCAGAGUGGUGGCUUGCAAAUGUGGCCUGUCUGCGAACAGGGACAGUUUUAAUUCCAGGAACCACUCAGCUGACCCAGAAAGACAUUCUCUACAGACUACAAUCUUCAAAAGCAAACUGCAUCAUCACCAAUGAUGUUUUAGCCCCAGCAGUAGAUGCUAUUGCACCCAAAUGUGAAAAUCUGCACUCCAAGCUGAUUGUAUCAGAGAACUCCAGAGAGGGGUGGGGGAACCUUAAGGAGAUGAUGAAAGGUGCCAGUGACAGCCACACCUGUGUGAAGACAAAACACAAUGAGAUCAUGGCCAUGUUCUUUACCAGUGGAACAAGUGGAUAUCCGAAAAUGACUGCACACACCCACAGCAGUUGUGGCUUAGGAUUAUCUGUAAAUGGAAGGUUCUGGCUAGAUUUAACACCCUCAGAUGUGAUGUGGAAUACCUCAGAUACAGGCUGGGCAAAGUCUGCAUGGAGUAGUGUUUUUUCUCCAUGGAUCCAGGGAGCCUGUGUAUUCGCACACCAUUUACCCCGUUUUGAGCCAACUUCUGUCUUGCAAACACUCUCCAAGUACCCCAUUACAGUCUUCUGUUCAGCAGCAACUGUAUACCGAAUGCUUGUACAGAAUGAUAUGGCCAGCUAUAAGUUUAAAAGCUUAAAGCACUGUGUGAGUGCUGGGGAACCAAUCACCCCUGAUGUGACUGAAAAAUGGAGAAACGAGACGGGCCUAGAUAUCUACGAAGGAUAUGGACAGACUGAAACGGUGCUAAUCUGUGGAAAUUUUAAGGGAAUGAAAAUUAAACCUGGCUCAAUGGGAAAACCUUCUCCUGCUUUUGAUGUUAAGAUUGUAGAUGUAAAUGGCAAUGUUCUACCUCCUGGACAAGAAGGAGAUAUUGGCAUUCAAGUUCUACCUAACCGACCAUUUGGCCUUUUUGCUCAUUAUGUAGAUGAUCCUUCAAAAACAGCUUCAACUCUACGAGGCAAUUUCUAUAUCACUGGGGACAGAGGGUAUAUGGAUGAAGAUGGGUAUUUUUGGUUUGUUGCAAGAUCAGAUGAUAUCAUAUUAUCCUCUGGUUAUCGAAUUGGACCAUUUGAGGUAGAAAAUGCCCUGAAUGAACACCCUUCAGUUGCAGAGUCAGCUGUUGUCAGCAGCCCAGACCCCAUCAGAGGAGAGGGCCACAGAAAUGGAUCAGAGCAACAAAAAAGUGGCUGCUGGAAUCUUCACAGCCUUGUAUCAAGACUGCAUGUUCUCUGUGAACUGUUCCCUUCAACAAAGACAUGGCAAACUCGGCGUGACUACUGUUUAUAAGUAAUACCCAUGCUGAGGGCUAGGCUGGACCAGGCUGGGUUGUUAUAGGGGUCCCAGAGGCUCUCCUGUAUUAGGUACAGACCAGGAAGUGUGUGAAUUAACUGGCUGGCUUAAGAGCACAGAUCUGGGAUCAAACUUUAUUAAAACACACUGGCCCACCCCACCAGGCAUGUAGAUUCUCAGAGCAAGCACACAAGACAUACUAAAACAUACAAAUGCAUAACUCAUUUUCCUGGUGUUUCAAAUAUUUAUUUUAGGUAGUAAAGGCUUUUAUUGUUCUAAAUCCUGAUUACAAGUCACAUGAUCAAGAACAACUAAUAAAGGAGAUUCAGGAGCAUGUUAAAAAAUCUACAGCACCUUACAAAUAUCCCAGAAAGGUAGAAUUUAUUCAAGAGCUGCCAAAGACUAUCAGUGGGAAGACAAAAAGAAAUGAACUGAGGAAGAAAGAAUGGAAGACAAUUUAAAUUUGUUUCACUAAUUACCAUAUGUAUAAAACACAUAGUAUCUGUCAAUCUCUAGAAACCACAGGAUGAUGGAGACGUGAUAAAAACUGUGGUAGUAUGCUUAGAAACUGUUGAUUUAAAAUAUCUUGUGGUUAUGAUAUCAGAGGCUAAAUUUUGAAAUAAAAUAUCUGGCAAAUUCCUCCACAUUAGUGUCAAUGUUCCUAUCAUUUCUUAAUAUAAAAAUGUCAUCAAUUGCUGAUUAAUUUUUAAAUGUAUAGUAUAGAAGCAAUUUCUGAACCAAAUCUCUGCUACAUAGGUUUUCAAACUUUAGUUGACUAAUUAUUCUGAUAUGUUGAUAUACAAAUUAGAACCAAUGUUCAAGCCGUGAAAUAAAACUAAAGAACUUAUAAAAGUUUUUAGAAAAAUAUAAAAUAUCAGAAGAUUAUGAUAAUUCUCAAAAUACAAGAAUCUACCUGAAAAUAGACUAGGGAUUUUUAAUAGUCACAUUUUUUGCAAAUAAUUUAAAAAUAGUUUAAGACUUGUUUUAAGGUCUAACUAUAAAAGAAGGAUCAUAUACUAUUGUUGCUUAUUAUAUGUAAUAAAUACUGUUUACAAAA